rnacentral:rRNA from 1 species
GCCAACCUACGGGGCGCAGCAGUGAGGAAUAUUGGUCAAUGGGCGGUAGCCUGAACCAGCCAAGUGGCGUGAGGGAAGACGGUCCUAUGGAUUGUAAACCUCUUUAGGCGGGGAGCAAUGCCGGGCACGUGUGCCCGGAGGGAGAGUACCCGCAGAAUAAGCAUCGGCUAACUCCGUGCCAGCAGCCGCGGUAAUACGGAGGAUGCGAGCAUUAUCCGGAUUUAUUGGGUUUAAAGGGUGCGUAGGCGGAUUUUUAAGUCAGCGGUAAAAUGUCCGGGCUCAACCCGGGCCGGCCGUUGAAACUG